rnacentral:lncRNA from 1 species
UCCCUAGGAUUCUCCAGGCAAGAACACUGGAGUGGGUUGCCAUGUCCUUCUCCAAUGCAUGAAAGUGAAAAGUGAAAGUAAAGUUUCUCAGUCGUGUUCAACUCUUUGUGACCUCGUGGACUGCAGCCUACCAGGCUUCUCUGUCCAUGGGAUUCUCCAGGCAAGAAUACUGGAGGGUUACCGUUGGAGUAUAAAAGAGAGCUGAGUGCUGAAGAAUUGAUGCUUUUGAACUGUGGUGUUGGAGAAGGCCCUUGAGAGUCCCUUGGUCUUCAUGAAGAUCCAACCAGUCUAUCCUAAAGGAAAUCAGUCCUGAAUAUUCAUUGGAAGGACUGAUGCUGAAGCUGAAACUCAAAUACUUUGGCCACUUGAUGCGAAGAGCCAACUCAUUGGAAAAGACCCUGAUGCUGGGAAAGAUUGAGGGCAGGAGGAGAAGGGGACGACAGAGGCUGAAAUGGUUGGAUGGCAUCACUGACCCCGUGGACAUGAGUUUGAGUAAGCUCCAGGAGUUGGUGAUGAACAGGGAAGCCUGGUGUGCUGCAGUCCACGGGGGCGCAAAGAGUCGGACACGACUGAGAGACUGAACUGAACUGAACUGCACACACAGGUUCACUGCUGCCAGAAGGUGAAACAGCCCACGUGUCCAUCCAGGGGUUGGGGAAUGUGGUGGAUCCAGAUGAUGGAAGCAUACUGAGCCACAUGCAGGGAGGAAGGACCCACACAGGCCGUACGGAGGGGCCUUGAAAAUACUCCAGGCAGUGAAAUGAACCCAGCACAGACAUGCUCCGGAGCUGGGUGUUGGUUCCCCAGGAAAUUUCUGGGUCUGGGCUGGGCCUCGCUGUGGAUUCAGGUCUGAGGCUUGGCCUGGGGAGCUGGGGUCCCACGCAGGGUCCCCUCCAGGACGGCAGGACUCGCAUCCUGGAAGGGUCAGAUGGGGAGUGCGUGUGGCCACUCCCUCGCUGGGGGCGGGUGGAGGAGGCAUGGGUGACUCUCCUCUGGCCACAGGAUCGGCUCCAUUCGGAGCCACAUGGAAUACAAAUGAGGCAGCGCCUGGAGAAAGGCCCUGCAUCCAGCUUUGCCCGAGUCUGCAGCCAGGCAGGGCACCAUAGGGAAGCGCAUGCUGGGCCGGUGUGAUUACACGUUGUGCCUUUGUAAACACACAGAGAGACUUCCAGCUUCAUCUUCAGCAUGAAAAGAGCUUGGAGGUCAUCCCUCCUGUCUUCACAACAGGAAAAAAAAACAGAGCAAGCUGAAAAUCAACAACUUAGCUCCGUCAGAGAAUUGAGGUCCCAGGGCAAACUGGAAAGACAGAUGCAAAGAAUCAGAGCUGAGAUCAGCUUGCUUGGGAGCAGAAGCCAGCUGAGCUAGGAACUGGCAGGACACUUAAACAGUGAUUGAUGAAUCUCUAGAGGCGGAGCGUGGACUUGCUGGGGGGAACUGGUCUUUUGUAGACUUUACCUCUAGGAACUCCAGCUGGGUCUCGGAGUGAAGAUCUGAAGAUCAAAGAAAUACUCUGCAUCAGGGAGGAACAGGAAGAAAGCAACUGAAUAUACCCAAUAGGUUCUGUUUCUGUAACAAACCCUGUCCCCGAGGGAAACAACUUUGUCAGAGCCUUAUUCUGACCUCCAGCCGUCUUGUCUCACUCAAGUGAAAAUUUAAAAAGACUAAAAACACUUCUGAGGGUCAAAGCGCAAGAACUCAGGCCCAAUAAUAAAACCUAAAACGUACUCAUAAGCCCAUAGGAUACUUCCACUACCCGACGCCUUACCACCAACAGGGCUCCCAUAUAUAGCAGCUGGGGCUUCCCUGGUGGCUCAAACGGUAAAGAAUCUGCUUGCGACAUGGGAGACCCAGGUUCGAUCCCUGGGUUGGGAAGAUCCCCCGGAGAAGGAAAUGGCAACGCACUCUGGUAUCCUUGCCUGGAGAAUCCCAAGGAUAAGGAGCCUGGUGGGCUACAGUCCACAGGGUUGCAAAGGGUUGGACACGGUUGAGCGACUAAUGCUCACUUUCUUUCACAAUAAGAAGAGCUGUAAAAUACAGACUCUGUUUAACAAGGAGUUCUCGGGUAAACCCAAGACAACAGGAGAGAAAACAACAAACAAAAAGGAAAACAGCAAGGUCUGGUGAGUCGGAAGGCAUACACACAGCCCAGCUCCUAGGCAGAGCCACACAGACUAAACCCUAACGACGUCCUCAGUCGCUAUUACCAGAUACACCAUUUCCAACUUUCAAGAAAAAAAGAAAAGAAAAGAACAUCUUGCUAAAAGCCAAGGGGAACCAGUCUGAAGACACGAAGUGAAGCCUAAAAGCUAGACUUAGACACAACACGUAUGUUGGGAUUAUGAGACUGGGAAUUUUAAAUAUCUGUGAUUAAUAUGUUAAAGGUUCUAAUGGAGAAAGGAGCCAACAUUCGAGAACAGAUGGGCUAAUUUAAUGGAAGGGAUGGAGAGUCUGAGAAAGAAUCUAGAGAAGUGAUAUGAAACAGACAUAUUUUAACUGCAAGAAAGAAAUGUGUUUGGUGGGCUAUCGCGAUAGCGCAGACUCAGUCAAAGAAAGAAUAGAUGUUCUUGAAAAAUGUGUCGAUAAAAACUUGAAAACAGAACUAGAAAGAGAAAAAUGUAUGGGAAAGUAGGGAACAGAGUGUCCAAGAAAUGUGAAAUGAUCACAAAAGGAGUGGGAGGCGUAUAAUGGCAACAGCAGGGAGACAAGAAAGAGAGAGGAUGGAGAAAAUAAAAUGUCUGGAGCAAAGGUGGCUAAGCAUUCUCCAAAAUUAAUAACAGACAUCAAACCACAGAGCAAGGAAGCUCUGAGUACACCAAGUAGGAUAAAUACCAAAAAUCUACACAUAAGCAUAUUAAACUCAAAUUGCAGGACACUAAAGACGAAACCUUGAAAGAAAUGAGAGGGAAAAACUUACCCUUUUGAGGAACAAGGAUAAGACUUAACAUCAAAUUUCUCAUCAGGAGCCAUGCCUGUAAGAAAGAGAUUAAAGCCAAAUAUUUAAGGUGUUGAAAGUAGAACCCACCAACCUAGAUUUCGGCAUUCAGCACAAUCAGCUUUCAAAUGUGAAGGAGAAAUACGUCCUCAGACAACAUUAAAAAAAAAAAAAAAGAGGGAAUGUUUCAACAGAAGAUCUGCCCUUCAAGAAGUUCAAAAGACAUUUUCCAAAGAAAAGAGUUACAUAAGUCAGAGACUCAGACCUACAUAAAUGAAGAGUCUUAGAGAAAGGAUGAAGGUAAAAUAAAGUAUUUUAUUUCCUUACUCUUAAUUUAAGAAAUAACUGUUCCAAGCCCUAAUAGCAAGGAAGUACUGAGUGAUGGGCUUCUCUGGUGACUCAGCCAGUGAGGAAUCGCCUGCAGCGCAGGAGAUGCAGCUUCACGCCCUGAGUUAUAAAGACGCCCUGGAGAAGGGAGCGGCUACUCACUGCAGUAUUCAGGUCUGGAGAGUCCCAUGUACAGCGGAGCCUGUCGGACUACAAUCCACGGGGUCACAGAGGGCUGGACAUGGCUGAGCAACACACACACACACACACACACACACACACACACACACGCUCAUUGAGUGGUUAUAGCAUAUGAAUAAUUGAAAUGAAUGGCAGCAGUGUCAUGAAAAAUAGGGAGAAUUCAGAACCCUCUGUUCAAAGAAACCUACAAGAUCUUUGAAACGUUGAUGUAAUGAAGUCUAAAGGUGGCUUUACAUUAGCCAUAAAUGUAUAUUGCAAACUCUAGGAAAACCACUAGUUUUUUCUUUUUUAAGUAAUGUAAUUGAUAUGCUAACAGAGGACAGAGAAUGGAAUAAUCAAAUACUCAAUUGAAACCAGAGAAGGCAGAAGAAGAGGAGAAAAUUUAAUAAACUGGAAACAGCUGACAAAUGUGAUGAACAGAAAAUUUUAAACAUGGUAGAUAUUAAUCCAAGCAGAUCAAUAAUCACUGUAAAUGUGAAUAAACAAAUUAAAAGGCAGAUACUAUCAGAGCGGAUUUUAGAAAAAUAUUCAACUACACACUAUAUACAAGAAACCCAUUUUAAAUAUAAAGUCAGAUAAACUAAAAGUCAAGGAAUGGAGAAAGAUACACCAGGAUAAUACUAAUCAAAAGACAGUUUAGGUGGUUAUAUUAAUUUUAGACAAAACAGACUUCAGAAUAGGAAAAAGUGUCAGGAAAAAAAGAGGUUUAUAUAAUAAUAAAAAGAUUCAAUUCUCCACAAACACUUGAGUCGUUAAUGUGCAUAUGCCAAAUAUACAACAACCGUGUCAAAAUAUGUCAAAACCGAGGCAAAAACUGCUGGAACUACAAGGAGAAAUAGACAGCUUCACUAGAGUUGGAGACUUCAACACCCCUCUAUUGUAAUUGAUAGGCCUCACAGGUACAAAAUCAGAAAGGACACAGUUGAUCUGAACAGCACCAUCUAUCAACUGGACCUAAUUGACAUUUAUAGGACACUGCACCCAACAACAGCAGAAUACACAGUCUUCUCAAGCUCACAUGGGACAUUAACCAAGACAGACAUUCUGGACCAAAAAACACACCGUACCAAAUGUAAAAGAAUAUGAAUCGUAGGAAGCAUUCUCACACACUACACUAAAAUUAAGCUUGAACUCAUUAACCUCAUGCUAGCUGGAAAAUCUCAAAAUAUUUGGAGUAAACAAGACACUGCUAAUCAUAAACUGAUCAAGCAAGGCUGGUGAAAGAAAUUUAAAAUAUUUCUAAAUGCUUAGAGGAAAAUUUAUGGUAUUGAAAGCAUACAUUCGAAAAUUUUAAAAAGAUGGAAAAUCAAUCUUCUAAGCUACUGCCUUAGGAAACGCUUAAAAGAAGAGAGAAUCUAACCUAACAAAAAGCAUUCGAAAAGAAAUAACAAUUAGAGCAGAAAUCAAUCAAAUUGCUAGGAGGAACUAGAGAAAAUCAGUGAAACUAAAAGCUGGUUCUUGGAAAAGAUAAAUAAAAGUGAUAAACCUCUAGUCAAGCUAAGCAAGAAAUAAAGAUAGACACAAAUUGCUGACACCUGAAAUGAAAGAAUAACCACGAAGGAUUCCAUAGGUGUAAAAUGUUAGUAAAGGAACAUUAUAAACAAGUCCAUGACUAU